rnacentral:rRNA from 1 species
UACGUAGGGCGCAAGCGUUAUCCGUAAUUAUUGGGCGUAAAGAGCUCGUAGGCGGUUUGUCGCGUCUGCCUUGAAAGUCCGGGGCUCAACUCCGGAUCUGCGGUGGGUACGGGCAGACUAGAGUGAUGUAGGGGAGACUGGAAUUCCUGGUGUAGCGGUGAAAUGCGCAGAUAUCAGGAGGAACACCGGUGGCGAAGGCGGGUCUCUGGGCAACAACUGACGCUGAGGAGCGAAAGCGUGGGGAGCGAACAGG